UACUACUUCACACCCACUAGAUGGCUAUCAUAAAAAAGACAGAAAAUAACAAGUAUUAGUGAGGAGGGGGAGAAAUUGGAAUCCUCAGACACUACUCAUGGGAAUGCUUUUGCAAAAUGAUUCAGUCAUUUUAGAAACCAGUCUAAUAAUUCCUGAAGAGGUUAAACAGAGAGUUAAGAUAAAACUAAGUGAUACGCAAUGAGAUCCCCUUCUGAAUAGCACAGGCAACUAUAUCCAGUCACUUGCAAUGGAAUAUGAUUGAGGAUAAUGUGAGAAAAAGAAUGUGUGUAUAUAUAUGUGUGUGUGUAUAUAUAUAGAUGAUUGGGUCACUUUGCUGUACAGCAGAAAUUAACAGAACAUUGUAAAUCAACUAUAACAGAAAAAAUAAAAAUCUUAAAAAAAUAAAACAUAAAACUGAGUGAUUCCACUCCUGGAUAUAUACUCAAGACAACCGAAAAGCCAGGUUCACACAAAGAUCUGUGGGGAUGUUCACAGCAGCAUUAUUCAUAAUAACCAAAAGGUGGCAAAAAUCGAGUAUCUACCAACAUACAGAGGGAUAUACAAAAUGUGGUGCAUUUAUCCAUACAAUAGACAACAUGGAUGAACCUUGAAAACAUUAAGCUAAGUGAAAGAUGCCAGACACACAAAGCUACAUAUUUUAUGACUCCAUUUAUAUGAAACAUCCAGAGUGGGCAGUGGAUUAGUGGUUGCCAGGUGCUGGGUAAAGGGGGAUUUAUUGGUAUAAGGUUUCUUUCAGGGUGAUGAGAACGUUCUAGAAUUAGAUAGGGAACAUGCUGAAAAAAACACACUGAAUUGGACAUUUUAAAAGGAUGGAUUUUGAUAAAUAAGGUCAAUUUUUUUAAUAAUUGAAACUUACAGCUACUAUCUUCACAUAGCUUAUAUUUUAAUCCUGGAGUUGCAAAGUCAAAUAUCUAUGGGAACCAGGCGAGUUACAAACAUGUUGUGGUUGGUGACUGUAAAAGCUAAAUGCUAAAAUGCUUGUAUAAUGACUUGGCAUAAUACUUACCUCUUAAAGCAAUAUCCGGCCCAGAGAAUGCAGCCAAUCAAUAUGUGCUUACCAGUUGUAUUUGGCCCUGCAGCUACCUUUUGCAACCUCUAAAAUUAUUUUGAGAGGAACUGAUAAAAUAAAAUUGGGAAAUCUCAUUGCUACAAACUAUGAAAAGGAAAAAGGAGGAGAGGAAGGUCAUCCAAUUUUAAAAGGUGAGCCUUUCUAGUUGAGCCAUAAGUUCACCUAAAGUAAUAGGGAAAGAGAAAUCAUCAUCUGGAUGAAAUAUGACUUUUUAAAUAAAACUGUUAUUUUGGAACAGUGUUAGAAUCACACAAAAAACUGUGAAGACAGCACACAGUUCCCAUACACCCAACCCUAAAUUCAUCUCAUACUAACUUCUUGCAUUUUUAUGGUACAUUUGUAACAAUGAAUAAAUCAGUACUGAUACAUUAUUUUUAUUAACAAAGUCCAGAUUUCAUUUAGAUUUCCUUAGUUUUUUAGUUUUUUUAUUAAAGUAUAUCUGAUUUACAAUGUCCUGUCAAUUUCUACUGUACAGCAAAGUGACCAAUUAUACAUAUAUUCUUUUUCUCAUUUUGUCUUCUAUCAUGUUCUAUCACAAGUGAUUGGAUAUAGUCCCCUGUGCUAUACAGUAAGACCCUCUUGCUUAUCCAUUCUAAAUGUAAUGGUUUGCAUCUACUAACCCCAAACUCCCAGUCCAUUUCACUCUUUCCCUGUCUCCCUUGGAAACCACAAGUCGGUUCUCCGUGUCUGUGAGUCUGUUUCUGCUUUGUAGAUAGGUUCAUCUGUGCCAUAUUUUAGAUUCCACAUGUAAGUGUUAGCAUAUGGUAUUUUUCUUUCUCUUUCUGGCUUGCUUCACUUAGCAUGAGAAUCUCUAGUUGCAUCCAUGUUGCUCAGAUAUCCUUAGUUUUUACCUAAUGUCCCUUUUUUGAGAUACUACCUUACAUUUAGUGUAAUGUCUCCUUGGGUUUCCCUUGGCUAAGAUCAUUUCUUAGCCUUUACUUUACUUUUCUUUUUUUUUUUUUUUUGUCUUGUUAGGGCCACACCCUCAGCAUAUGGAGGUUCCCAGGCUAGGGGUCUAAUCAGAGCUGUAGCUGCUGGCCUAAGCCACAGCCACAGAAACAUGGGAUCCGAGCCGAGUCUGCAACCUACACCACAGCUCAUGGCUAUGCUGGAUCCUUAACCCACUGAGCAAGGCCAGGGAUCAAACCUGCAUCCUCAUGGAUGCUAGUCAGAUUCGUUUCCACUGAGCCAAGGCAGGAACUCCAGACUUUCCUUGUUUUUGAUGACCUUGACUGUUUUGAGGAGUAUUGGCCAAGCACCUUGUAGAAUAUCCUUCAAAGGGUUUUUUUUUGUUUUGUUUUGUUUUUUUUCCUGAUGUAUUCCUCAUAAUUAGACUUGGGUUAUGGAUUUUGAAAAGAAGACUACAGAGGUUAAGUGUCAUUAUCAUUACAUCAUAUCAAGGAUGCAUUCAAUUAAAAAGACAUCACUAUUGAUGUAUACCUUGAUCACUUGGCUGAGAAAGUGAUGCCAUGUUGUUCUCUGUAGUUACCUCUUUUCCUCCCUUCCCAUACUGUACUCUUAGGAAGGAGUCACUAUGCAGAGCCCACACUUAAGGAGUGCGCAGUUAUGCUCCCUGUUUCAGGGUGAAAUAUCUACAUGAAUUAUCCAAAAUUCCUUUGCAAGGAAUAUUUGUCUAUUCCCAAUUUAUUUACUUAGUCAUCUAUUUCUGUAUGGAUUCAUGGGCAUUUUCAUUUUUUCCAUGUCUACUGAGAUAUAAUUGACAUAAAACAUUGCAGAAGUUUAAAGUGUACAACAUGAUGACUUGAUACCUUUCUAUUUUGUGAAAUAAUCAUCAUCAUAGAGUUACCUUACAUCUCCAACGCCUCACAUAAUUACCGUUUCCUUUUUUGUGGUUAGAACAUUUUAGAUUUGCUCUCUUAGCAAGAGCUAAGUACAUAAUCCAGUGCUAGUAACUGUAAUCACCAUGCUGUACAUGAGGUCCCUGGAACUUAUUCAUCUUAAAACUGGAAGUCUGUACCCUUUCACUGACAUCUCCCUAUUUCUCCUACUCCCUAGUCUCUGUGGCAACCGCCAUAUCGACUCUCUGUUUCUAAGUUUGGCUUCUUCAGAUCUACAUAUAAAUGAGAUCAUACAAUAUUUGCCUUUCUAUGUCUCACAUUUCACCUAGCACAAUAACCUCAAGGUCCAUCCAUGUUGUCAUAAAAAAAAAAUCCUUCUUUCUCAUGGAUGAAUAAUAUUUCAUUGCUUAUAUAUAUCGCAUUUUCACCAUCCAAUCAUCCAUAGAUAGACACAGAGAUUGUUUUCAUAUCUUGGUUACUGUGAGUAAUGCUGCAAUAAAAAUAGGGGAGGAGAAAUCUCUUCAAGAUUUUGUUUCCUUUCAAUGUACACCCAGAAGUGGUAUUGCUGGAUUACAGUAGUUCCAAUUUUUUAUUUUUUGAGGAACCUCCAUACUGUUUUCCAUAGUAGCUGCACCAAUUUACAUGCUCACCAACAGCGCACAAGGGCUCUCUUUUUCUUCACAUCCUUGCCAAUACUUGCAGUCUUUUAUGAUUUUAAUUAUAGCCAUUUUAACAGGUAUGAGGUGAGAUAACAUUGUGGCUUUCACUUGCGUUUUUCACGAUUUAGCAAAAAAGACCAUCUCUUCAUUUACCUGUUGGACAUUCAGAUGUCUACUUUGAAAAAUGGCUAUUCAGGUUCCUUCGCCUACUUUUUAAUCAGAUUGUUUGUUUUCUGCUAUUGAGGUGUAUGAGUUCCUUAAAAAAUUUGGAUAUUAACCCCUUAUGAGAAAUAUGAUUUGCCAAUAUUUUAUUCCAUUUCAUAGGCUGCCUUUUCGUUUUGUUGACCAUUUCUUCUGCUGCGCAGAAAAAAACAUUUUCAGUUAGAUGUAGUCCCACCUAUUUAUUUUUGCUUUUGUUUCUUAUGCUUUUGGUGUCAUGUCCAAAAAUAAUUGUUACCAAGAGCAAUGUCAGAAAGUUUUUUUACCUACCUAUUUUUCUAGCAAUUUUACAGUUUCAGGUCUCACAUUUAAAUCUUCAAUCCACUUCAAGUUCAUUUUUGUGAAUGGGGGACAGAUCUGUUAGUAUUUGCUUAAUGUAUUUAGGUGUUCAAUAUUGGGCACACAUAAAUUUACAAUCGUUGUACUGCCUUAAUGACCUGACCCCUAUAUCAUUAUAUAAUGACCUUCUUUUUCUCUUGUUACUAUUUUUUGUUUAAAGCCUACUUGGUCAAAGAUAAGUAUAGCUACCUCCACUUUCUUUUUGUUUCCACUUGCAUGGGAUAUCUUUUCCAUCCCUUCAUUUGAGCUUAUGUGUCCUUGAACCUGAAAUGAGACACUUGUAGGCAGCAUAUAGUAAGGUCUUGGGUUCCUCUUUGUUUUUGUUUUUUAAUUUUAUGGCCACACCUGAGUCAUAUGGAAGUACCCAAGCCACAGCUAUGACUUAUGCCUGUGACCUAUGCUACAGUUUUGUUUUAUACCCCAUCAGCCACAUUAUGCCUUCUGAUCCAAGAAUUUAAUCCUUUUACAUUGAGUAAUUAUUGAUAAGUAAGGACUUACAAAUGUUAUCAUAAUAUUUGUUUGCUGGCUGUUUUGUAGUUGCCUUAUUCUUUUCUCCCUCUUUUGGUCCUGUCUUUGGAAUUAAUUUUUCAUAGCAGCAUGCCUGUAUCCUUUAACUUUUGUGUAUCUACUGUAGGAUUUUGCUUUGUGAUUACCGUGAGGCUUUCAUAAAAUAUUUUAUAGAUAUAGCAGUCUGUUUUACAAUGAUAAAAACUUAACUUUGGUGACAUACAAAACUUUACCCCAUGCAGUCCCCCCUUUUUAUGUUUUUGAUGUCACAAUUUGCCUCCUCUUAUAUUGUGUAAUUAUUAACAAAAUACUGUGGCUACAGUUAUUUUUAAUACUUUUAUCCUUUAGCCUUUAUACUAAAGUUACUGGUUGACACACCACAAUAUGCCAGUAAUAGAGUAUACUCAAUUUGACUAUAUACUUACCUACCUUUGCCAAUGUGUUAUAUAUUUUUAUGUUUUCUACUUAUUUAUUAGUGUCUUUUCAUUUUAGUUUGAAGAACUUCUUUCAGUGUUUCUUAUAAGGCAGGACUAAUGGUAAAGUCCCUUACCUUUUGUUGGUUUGGGAAAGUCUUUAUUUCCCCUUCAUUUCUAAAGGACAGCACUGCCAGAUAGAGUAUUCUUGGUUGGCAGUGUUUUUUUGUUUUUUGGUUUUUUUUUUUCCCUUCCAGAACUUUGAAUAUAUCAUCUCACUCCCUGGCCUGCAGGUUUUCUGAUGAAAAAUCUGCUGAUAGUUACAAGCUUUUUUCUCUUCAUGCUUUAAGAUUCUUUUUGUGUUUGAUCUUUGACAGUUUUUUUAAACUGUGUCUUGGAGAAGUUGAGUUUGUUCAGUACUCUUGAGUUUGUUUGGUAAUCUAUGAGCUUGAUCUUGAAUUUGGUGACUAUGAACUUGGAUAUCCAAGUCUCUCUCCAGAUUGGGAAAGUCUUCUGCCAUUGUCUCUUUAAAUAAACUUUCUGCCCUUCUCAACAUUUAGGUUGUUUCCAUGUCUUGGCUAUUGUGAACAGUGUUGCUAUGACCAUAUGGAUGCAUGUAUCUUCUUGAAUUAUAGUUUCGUCCAGAUAUACACCCAGGAAUGGGAUUGCAUGAUCAUAUGACAGUUCUAUAUUUAGUUUUCUGAGGAAUUCCAUACUGUUUUCCAUAGUGGUUAUACCAAUUUACAUUUCCACCAACAGGAGGGUUCCCUUUUCUCCACAUCUUUUCCAGUAUCUGUUAUUUGUAGACUUUUUUUAAGUUUUAUUGAAGUAUAGUUAAUUUACAAGGUUGUGAUAAUUUCUGCUCUGCAACAAAGCAAUACAGUCAUACAUAUACAUAUAUCCAUUCUCUCUCAGAAUCUUUUAUUUUCACACUUUUUGAUGAUGACCAUUUGACCAGCGUGAGGUGGUACCUCACUGUAGUUUUGAUUUGCAUUCUUCUAAUAAUUAGUGAUGUUCAGCAUCUUUUCAGGUACCUACUGGCCAUCCAGAUGUCUUCUUUGGAGAAAUGUCUACUUAGGUCUUCUAUCAAUUUUUCAAUUGGGUUUUUUUGUUGUUGAGUUUUAUGAGUGGUUUCUAUAUUUUUGAGUUUAAGUCCUUGUCAGCUGCGUCUUUUGCAAACCUAGUCUCCCAUUCUGUAGGUUGCCUUUUCAUUUUUUUCAUGGUUUCCUUUGCUGUGCAAAAGCUUGUAAGUUUGAUUAGGUCCCAUUUGCUUAUUUUUGUUUUUAUUUUUAUUGCCUUGGGAUACUGACCUCCAUUAGGAGUUCUUUCAGUUGGCUCCUCUGUCCCAUUGGCUUAGCCCCAUCCUAGUGGUCAAAUAUAAUUUUUUAAAUACUAAAAAUAUAAUUCCCUGAUAAAUAUAAAGAGAACUUGUAUCAAAAUAUUUAGCUCAUUUAUGAGGAACAAAAAGGAUGAAAAGCUAAUUCAAAAGAAAAUGCAGGGAGUUCCUGUCAUUGCCCAGUGGUUAGCGAACCUGACGAGCAUCCAUAAGGACGUGGAUUUGAUCCAGGCCUCGUUCAGUGGGUUAAGGAUCUGGCAUUCCUGGGAGCUGUGGUGUAGGUCACAGUCGUGGCUCAGAUCCCGCAUUGCUGUGACAGUGGUGUAGACCAGUGGCUACAGUUCCAAUUGAACCCCUAGCCUGGGAACCUCCAUAUGCUGCAGGUACAGCCCUAAAA
rnacentral:lncRNA from 1 species